UGGGGAAUAUUGCACAAUGGGCGCAAGCCUGAUGCAGCCAUGCCGCGUGUGUGAAGAAGGCCUUCGGGUUGUAAAGCACUUUCAGCGAGGAGGAAGGUGGUGAGCUUAAUACGCUCAUCAAUUGACGUUACUCGCAGAAGAAGCACCGGCUAACUCCGUGCCAGCAGCCGCGGUAAUACGGAGGGUGCAAGCGUUAAUCGGAAUUACUGGGCGUAAAGCGCACGCAGGCGGUUUGUUAAGUCAGAUGUGAAAUCCCCGGGCUCAACCUGGGAACUGCAUUUGAAACUGGCAAGCUAGAGUCUCGUAGAGGGGGGUANNNAAUUCCAGGUGUAGCGGUGAAAUGCGUAGAGAUCUGGAGGAAUACCGGUGGCGAACGGCGGCCCCCUGGACGAAGACUGACGCUC
rnacentral:rRNA from 1 species